AACGCAAAUUGCACUCUCUGGUAUUCCGGAGAGUAUGCCUGUUUGAGGGUCUGUCUAAUUUAAGUCGAUGUGUUGCUUUUGUGAUACCUCGGAGAUGGGUCGUCUUAGGAUUCUAAGAGACCUAAAAUUGAUUUUUUUACGCAUUUUUAGACGUAUAAAAUAUUAUUUGUCUGAUAUGCCAGGAUUUUUUUACUAGGUAUGAUCAUUUUUUUAUAUGGUUUUCGUAUCUAUAAUAAUUUCGUUUUUUGACCUCAAAUCAGGUAAGAGUACCCGCUGAACUUAA
rnacentral:misc_RNA from 1 species